rnacentral:lncRNA from 1 species
GAGACAGAGAGACAGAGAGAGAGAGAGACAGAGAGAGACAGAGACAGAGAGAGACUGAGAGAGAGAGACAGAGAGACAGAGAGAUACAGACACAAAGAGAGAAAACACACACAAAGAGAGAAACAGAGAGAAACAGACACAGAGAAACGAGAGAAAGAGAGAGAGAAAAAGAGAGAGAGAAGAGAGGGGGGGGUUACAGUAACAAUGAGGGUCUUGAGCAAACACUGCAGCUUCCAGGGAGUCCCACAGGGUGGGGCUUGUGAGGAAAGAGGGAAGAUGGGAGGGAGGAGGCUGCCACUUAGGCUAAACUUCAGGUCCAGGACAGGAUUUCACCUCAGAAGACUGAAAAUCUGUGACCUCCUUUUUGCUUGUAACACCUGCCAGACCCUGACGUGCCCUGAGAGUACGUUUUAGACCUUAAACUCCUAUUUUACUUGUUAUUCAAAAACCCAAAGACAGCUUUCUUUUUAACUACCGCAAAUAUACAGGGAUAGACUCGGUAUAAAACUUAACCUUGACUUAUAGAAUAUAUCCCUCUAUACAUAACACGCAAGAAUAUAACACUUGUGUAACUGAAAAACUAUUUUCUGAUAAAAUAUUUAGUUAAUUCCCCUGGGGUGUAUGAAAAGGAAGAAAAUAUAAAGAAUGGUUCUGCCACCCUAAAUCCAAAUUACCAAACCCUUUAACACAUUUGGGGGUACACAUAUUCUCCUGUGAUCACGCAAACCCUAGGAACACAACCCCAAAUCUGAACUUCCUUCUCUAAUAGAAACACAGGCUUAGAGGUACAUGCCAGCGUACAUGCCGGACUCCACACUUCCGUCCUCACCCCGGAAACUGGUCAAAAGUGGAAAUUCAAAUAUCAAGCAAACAAAAAUAAAUGUUAGCAUAUCUCAAA